UACAGAGGGGGCAAGCGUUGUUCGGAAUUACUGGGCGUAAAGGGCGCGUAGGCGGCCUGCUAAGUCGAACGUGAAAUCCCUGGGCUCAACCCAGGAACUGCGUCCGAUACUGGUUGGCUUGAAUCCGGGAGAGGGAUGUGGAAUUCCAGGUGUAGCGGUGAAAUGCGUAGAUAUCUGGAGGAACACCGGUGGCGAAGGCGGCAUCCUGGACCGGCAUUGGCGCUGAGGCGCGAAAGCUAGGGGAGCAAACGGG
rnacentral:rRNA from 1 species